rnacentral:lncRNA from 1 species
CGAAUUUCCUUCACUCAACAAACAAACAAUCCUUGUAUCAACGUCUUAGACCAACACUUGACCUCUCUUCGAUUUCAAGUGUCUGACAUACUCAUUCUUCUAACUUGUAUUUGCUAUCAAAUUUCCUUCUUCAUAAACUUUUGAAACUUCUUGAUUUGCAUGUUAACCGGUUACCUCAAAAGUGUUAACCGGAAGGAAAAAUUCCAAUUUCC